GACCUCAUGAGGUAAGAAGUCCUGAACUACAGUCCGGACGAGCAUGGCCGAAGCUGCCACAGAGGCUGCCGUGGAUAAUAUUUUUUUGGCGGAGGGCAUGUUAUUAGUGGAAGAAGACAUAAUCAUUCUUUGGGGGAGGAGAGAGAGAGAAUUG